rnacentral:rRNA from 1 species
UACAGAGGUCUCAAGCGUUGUUCGGAUUCAUUGGGCGUAAAGGGUGCGUAGGUGGCAUGGUAAGUCGGAUGUGAAAUCCCGGGGCUCAACCCCGGAACUGCAUUCGAUACUGCUGCGCUAGAGUACUGGAGAGGAGAUUGGAAUUUACGGUGUAGCAGCGAAAUGCGUAGAUAUCAGGAGGAACACCAAUGGCGAAGGCAGCUCGCUGGGACGUGACUGACGCUGAGACGCGAAAGCGUGGGGAGCAAACAGG